UACAGACCACAGUCGUGCAGAGUUCUAAUAGUUCUAUUCAUACAUAUUAUUACAUAAUCGCCAUGCAUAUAUGUAUUGUUUUUAGUAAAACAUCCGAAGUAUCGCCUAGCCACAUUAUGUUAGUUUUAAUUUAUUUCCAAAAAAUGAAAAUAGAAGGAAAUAAUGGCUAAACAACUUUGAAUUAAAUGAUUAUCCCAAUUUCUACCUGACAUAGUAUCUGCGGAUAAUUUCACAAUUACUGAUUGUAAACAAUGCACUCAAAACAUAAUCCAAACCGUUUGUCUGGGAUAGAGAAGAAAAAUAAAUUUUAUUAAUUUACAGCAAUAUUGGUACUACUCUGAGCACGACUAAUAAAUCGCAUCCAUGUGUCGGUCGUGUUGCGCUGUGUCCAUGCAGUGGUAGACGACGGUGUUGUCUCCAGAACCGAACAAUGUCAGCGAGGGUGGAGCGUGACGUUGCUACUCGUUGCCGGUCGUUAGCAGACAAAAAAUUGCACAAAUGCUCGAGACGUGCAUGACAGCCAGAAUAUUGUGUAUCUCCAACGAUGAGGUUGAAGAAAAUUAACAGACAAAUAAAGGGCCUUACAAGCUGAUGAUUUUAAUUCAUCUAGAAAAGCCUUAGAAGCUUAAUAAUGUCUUAUUCACAUACACUUAUUUCAUUCAGUGGAUUAUACUUAUAUUUUCCAAACUGAAAUAUACGAUGCACCACAUACAAGCAACUAGGAAGUCGAUCAAAUAUCCUGACAAUUUUUCAGACGUUGACUUUCAUGAAGAUAAUUCUACCGACUUCGAUGAAGCCAUACAAUAUUGGAGCGAAUUAUGAAACUUAAGGGCAAUACAAUUUAGCUGAGCAGGAACCCAAUUUCAAUAACACAGAUGAGGGCCUCAACAUAUCUAAAUUGCAAAAAAACACGUAACUAGUUUGGACUUCAGUAUCUUUUCUGAAAUAAAAGUAUAUAUAGUUGGAUGACAGGUAAAAAUUGAAAAUUCAUAGGUGUUUUCAAAUACAUUGGGUAUAAAUCAGUUCUUUUAGAAUUUUCUAUACACCAUACAAUUUUUAAAACAAUUUUAUUCUUUUGAGCUAACUAUAGGGGAUAAAACACUUUAAUGGAAUCACAUUAAAAAUAUAAGUCUUCUUUGUUUACUGUCAUUUUAACAAAUCCCAUACCUAAUUGAUAAUAAUGUUGAUUAUAUACAGUUAUCAACUGCAUUUAUUUUUAGAAAUAAAAAAUUAUUUUAGAACUUGUCACUAUUGAUCUGAUUGUUAUGACAAUUAAUCUGUAUUUUGCGACAU